CUUUGAAAAACUGUAGACAGAAAGCAAAUCUGCAUGCUUAAAAAAGGAAGAAGUCAUUUCUGCAGUGUCCACAAUCUUUUACAGACUCAAAACAAUGAUGGCAGAAGAAGAUGGCCUUGAUUGACUCAAUACAUCUGGGAGGAAAGAAGUAGUGUGUGCUCCCAGAAGGAGAUGACAGCCAGCAUGAGGAGGAGAGCAAUGGGAAAACCAGCAAUACUCUUUCCACUCGUCUGUGUGCAGCAAGCAACAGUAAGGAGCUCUGAAGAGAUGUCCCGCUGGGGUAUAUGGCUAAGCAGGACGGUGACUCAGUGCCUUAGGAGAAACCGAUGGGAGUUGUGAUGCUCCUGCCUCCAUCUGAGUCCCUGUUGGUGGUGUGGGAAUGGCUUCGGGUACCUGAGGCCGAGGCUGUGGUUGAACGAGAUGACCUGCACUCACCAGGACAAUUGAGGUGAACCUUUCUUAACAGCUUCCAGAGCAGGACUGACCUGCCUUUCCCAAGACUGGUACUUGGGGUGGACUAUUUCAACAAGUUUGGCAAGCUGUGAGCUAGCAACUGCCUCCAAAAGGGAUGAAGGAGACGACGCUAUGAUGGACAGAUCAUGCUUAGUGACCUUAAAAGCUUUUAAGAUGCCACUGACUCUGCUUUUGGGCACUAUCUCUAUCUGGAAAAGCAUCACUUCGCCAGGCCACCUGCACAAAAGCAUGCUCAAGUGUUUCUCCCUUGGUAGCCCCAUUUAAUAAGAUUUUCCACUCUUGAGCUGCUUCAGGUACCGUCUCUGGAGUAGCAGACACUGCCGCGCAAUAGGGACUCGCAAUGCCUUGCAGCUAUCCUGUUGGUCUUGUGGUUUGUACUCUGAAAUGGUGAUCUUUGCAUGUGGAAAAAGAGGAGCCCAUCAAUCUCAGCAGGUUAGUAGAGGAGGAAAAGGUCUGGGCUUGUUUUAAUCUUAAAAUACUUUUAUCUGAAAGUUUGGCCCAACCAUAUUCUGUUAUUAUUGGAGUAUCUUGUCUAAUUCACUUUUUUUCCCUUAAAAAAAGCAUUUCACUUCCCCUUAAGAAUAUGUUAUGAACUGCUGCACUUUAGCAGUGUGAUAGUUCAUAACAGAAUCGAGAGGAGCAUGAAUUAUGUCAGAACUACAUUACUAAUGUGUAAUCUGCAGCAUUGGUUAAUUUGUUUUGAUAUUACAGUUUUAAUAGGAAAUAUAAUUUGAUUGCAUUUUAAAAAUAAAAACUGAUUUUCUGUAUUAUAGAAAAAUAUUAUGAAUAAUAAGCAAAAAAGGGGCUAAUAUAGCUAGGCAUUUCUAUUAACAAAAUGAAUAUGUUUCAUACGCUCUUUGUGUACUAAUUCAAGUCAUCCGAUGCCAGAUU